rnacentral:rRNA from 1 species
UACGGAGGGUGCAAGCGUUGUUCGGAAUCACUGGGCGUAAAGCGCGUGUAGGCGGCCUUCUCAGUCUGGUGUGAAAGCCCGGGGCUCACCCCCGGAAGUGCAUUGGAUACUGGAAGGCUGGAGUACCGGAGAGGAGGGUGGAAUUCCUGGUGUAGCGGUGAAAUGCGUAGAUAUCGGAAAGAACACCAACGGCGAAAGCACUCUGCUGGGCCGACACUGACACUGAGAGACGAAAGCUAGGGGAGCGAAUGGG